GACGAACGCUGGCGGCGUGCCUAAUACAUGCAAGUAGAACGCUGAAGCUUGGUGCUUGCACCGAGCGGAUGAGUUGCGAACGGGUGAGUAACGCGUAGGUAACCUGCCUGGUAGCGGGGGAUAACUAUUGGAAACGGUAGCUAAUACCGCAUAAAAUGGAUUAUCGCAUGAUAAUCCAUUGAAAGGUGCAAAUGCAUCACUACCAGAUGGACCUGCGUUGUAUUAGCUAGUUGGUGGGGUAACGGCUCACCAAGGCGACGAUACAUAGCCGACCUGAGAGGGUGAUCGGCCACACCGGGACUGAGACACGGCCCAGACUCCUACGGGAGGCAGCAGUAGGGAAUCUUCGGCAAUGGACGGAAGUCUGACCGAGCAACGCCGCGUGAGUGAAGAAGGUUUUCGGAUCGUAAAGCUCUGUUGUUAAGGAAGAACGUGUGUGAGAGUG
rnacentral:rRNA from 1 species